rnacentral:rRNA from 1 species
CCUACGGGAGGCAGCAGUGGGGAAUAUUGCACAAUGGGGGAAACCCUGAUGCAGCGACGCCGCGUGAGUGAAGAAGGCUUUCGGUAUGUAAAGCACUAUCAGCAGGGAAGAAAAUGACGGUUCCUGACUAAGAAUCCCCGGCUAACUACGUGCCAGCAGCCGCGGUAAUACGUCGGGGGCAAGCGUUAUCCGGAUUUACUGGGUGUAAAGGGAGCGUAGACGGCGCGGCAAGUCUGAAGUGAAAGGCAGGGGCUUAACCCCUGAACUGCUUUGGAGACUGCCAUGCUAGAGUGCUGGAGAGGGAAGUGGAAUUCCUAGUGUAGCGGUGAAAUGCGUAGAUAUUAGGAAGAACACCGGUGGCGAAGGCGGCCUGCUGGGCUGUAACUGACGUUGAGGCCCGAAGGCGUGGGGAGCAAACAGGAUUAGAUACCCUUGUAGUC